rnacentral:sRNA from 1 species
AUUAACAUUAUUUAAUCACACACAUAUAUCGACACAGUUUUCGGGGUGUCUGGGAGUGCUUCAGGUACUGUUCAGAUCGAGAACUGGGAUAUAUGGAGGCCUAAC